rnacentral:rRNA from 1 species
CUACGGGCCGCAGCAGUGAGGAAUAUUGCACAAUGGGGGGAACCCUGAUGCAGCAACGCCGCGUGGAGGAUGACGCAUUUCGGUGUGUAAACUCCUUUUAUAUGUCAAGAAAAUGACGGUAGCAUAUGAAUAAGCACCGGCUAACUCCGUGCCAGCAGCCGCGGUAAUACGGAGGGUGCAAGCGUUACUCGGAAUCACUGGGCGUAAAGGACGCGUAGGCGGGUUGGAAAGUCAGGUGUGAAAUCCUACGGCUUAACUGUAGAACUGCACUUGAAACUUCUAAUCUAGAGUAUGGGAGGGGGAGAUGGAAUUAGUGGUGUAGGGGUAAAAUCCGUAGAUAUCACUAGGAAUACCUAAAGCGAAGGCGAUCUCCUGGAACAUUACUGACGCUAAGGCGUGAAAGCGUGGGGAGCAAACAGGAUUAGAAACCCCUGUAGUC